rnacentral:rRNA from 1 species
UUGACCUCAAAUCAGGUAGGACUACCCGCUGAACUUAAGCAUAUCAAUAAGCGGAGGAAAAGAAACUAACAAGGAUUCCCCUAGUAACUGCGAGUGAAGCGGGAAAAGCUCAAAUUUAAAAUCUGGUGGUCUUUGGCCAUCCGAGUUGUAAUCUAGAGAAGUGUUAUCCGCGCUGGACCGUGUACAAGUCUCCUGGAAUGGAGCGUCAUAGAGGGUGAGAAUCCCGUCUUUGACACGGACUACCAGGGCUUUGUGAUGCGCUCUCAAAGAGUCGAGUUGUUUGGGAAUGCAGCUCAAAAUGGGUGGUAAAUUCCAUCUAAAGCUAAAUAUUGGCGAGAGACCGAUAGCGAACAAGUACCGUGAGGGAAAGAUGAAAAGAACUUUGGAAAGAGAGUUAAACAGUACGUGAAAUUGCUGAAAGGGAAACGCUUGAAGUCAGUCGCGUUGUCUGGGGAUCAACCUUGCUUUUGCUGGGCGUACUUUCCAGAUGACGGGUCAGCAUCAAUUUUGACCGUUGGAUAAAGAUUGGAGGAAUGUGGCAUCUUCGGAUGUGUUAUAGCCUUUAGUUGUAUACAACGGUUGGGAUUGAGGAAUUCAGCACGCCGCAAGGCCGGGUACUUGUACCACGUUCGUGCUUAGGAUGCUGGCAUAAUGGCUUUAAUCGACCCGUC